rnacentral:ncRNA from 2 species
AACAGCCGUUAGGGGUGCUCGGAUAUAGAGCUGAGAUGAAACCCUGAUUACCUGAUCUGGAUAAUACCAGCGUAGGGAAAUGGUUGUGAGGGCUC